rnacentral:rRNA from 1 species
UACGUAGGGCGCAAGCGUUAUCCGGAAUUAUUGGGCGUAAAGAGCUCGUAGGCGGUGUGUCACGUCGAUCGUGAAAACUUACAGCUUAACUGUGAGCGUGCGGUCGAUACGGGCAUCACUGGAGUUCGGCAGGGGAGACUGGAAUUCCUGGUGUAGCGGUGAAAUGCGCAGAUAUCUGGAGGAACACCAGUGGCGAAGGCGGCUUCCUGGCCUGUAACUGACGCUGAGACGCGAAAGCGUGGGGAGCGAACAGG